GACGAACGCUGGCGGCGUGCUUAACACAUGCAAGUCGAACGGAAAGGCCCUGCUUUUGUGGGGUGCUCGAGUGGCGAACGGGUGAGUAACACGUGAGUAACCUGCCCUUGACUUUGGGAUAACUUCAGGAAACUGGGGCUAAUACCGGAUAGGAGCUCCUGCUGCAUGGUGGGGGUUGGAAAGUUUCGGCGGUUGGGGAUGGACUCGCGGCUUAUCAGCUUGUUGGUGGGGUAGUGGCUUACCAAGGCUUUGACGGGUAGCCGGCCUGAGAGGGUGACCGGCCACAUUGGGACUGAGAUACGGCCCAGACUCCUACGGGAGGCAGCAGUGGGGAAUAUUGCACAAUGGGCGGAAGCCUGAUGAAGCAACGCCGCGUGCGGGAUGACGGCCUUCGGCUUGUAAACCGCUUUCGCCUGUGACGAAGCGUGAGUGACGGUAAUGGGUAAAGAAGCACCGGCUAACUACGUG
rnacentral:rRNA from 1 species